rnacentral:tRNA from 1 species
AUUCAAGUGGCUUAUAUUUAAGAGCAUUGUAUUGAAGAUACAAAGGAGAAUUAUUUCCUUGAAUA